AAGAAAACCCCGAGAAUUCCCUCGGUCACCCGAAAAGUAGUGAGCUAACUCUUCCUGCCACAGAACUAAAACCCCACUAUUGCAAUAGUGGAAAAAAAGGAUAAGUUAGAGGUAAAAUGCCAACCGCACUACUUGAUAGCUGGUUUUCGGGGAAAAGAGUAAAAGCUCUCUUACCUAAAGAACAAGAUCGAUGUUAUACAAACAGAGACUACUUCUAAGAGUAGAAAGAGGGCGGAAGACAAGUUCCACCCUCAAAAGGGAAACAACCCUUAGUGUAAGAAAAGCCAUCAAAAACAAGGGAGAAAAACCAAAGUAGGCCUAAAAGCUGCCAACCAGAAAGAAAGCGUUAAAGCUCAUACUAGCUAUCCCAACAAUUCUUUGACUUAAAAACUGUUCUUCGCUACAAGUACCCGAAAAGAAUAAUGUUAAGAUAAGUAAAAAGAUAUAUUCCCUUCCCCACAAAGAAAAUUAUUAACUGUAAACCCAAGAGAGCAAAGCGCAGGAAAGCUCCUCAUAAAAUUCUACCAACCCAGGUGUGGGAAGAAAAACGGAAAACCGGGAGGGAAGGAACUCGGCAAACCAGAAAAAGGACUGUUUACCAAAAACAUAGCCCUUUGAAUAUUUAAAGGGUCCCGCCUGCCCAGUGGCUCGAGGCUAAACGGCCGCGGUAUCUUGACCGUGCAAAGGUAGCAUAAUCAUUUGUCUUUUAAAUGGAGACUUGUAUGAACGGCGAAACCUUUUUCAGCUGUCUCCCCUCCCACCCUUUCAAAUUUCCUCCUGUGUGAAGAAGCACAGAUAUUCCAGAAAGACGAGAAGACCCUGUCGAGCUUCAGCCGCUAAGCGAACAGUCUUUUUCAAGUAUCGCCCAAAGGCUUUGGUUGGGGCAACCACGGAGAAGAAAAACCCUCCAGAACAAACAGAAGAAAACCCUUCGCUAUUGACUACACUAAAGAACCAGGAACUGGUAUUCGGAAAAAGUUACCGCAGGGAUAACAGCGUCAUCUCCUUUAAGAGUUCUUAUUGACAAGGAGGUUUGCGACCUCGAUGUUGGAUUGGGGCCCCCUUAGGGUGCAGAAGCUCUAAACGGUUAGACUGUUCGUCUAUUAAAGCCCU
rnacentral:rRNA from 1 species